rnacentral:rRNA from 1 species
UACGUAGGGUGCAAGCGUUGUCCGGAAUUAUUGGGCGUAAAGAGCUCGUAGGCGGUCUGUCGCGUCGGCUGUGAAAUCUCAAGGCUCAACCUUGAGCUUGCAGUGGGUACGGGCAGACUAGAGUGUGGUAGGGGAGACUGGAAUUCCUGGUGUAGCGGUGAAAUGCGCAGAUAUCAGGAGGAACACCGAUGGCGAAGGCAGGUCUCUGGGCCACUACUGACGCUGAGAAGCGAAAGCAUGGGGAGCGAACAGG